AUGGCUCUCCGUCUUCACCACCGACCCCUCCUCCUCCUCCUCCUCCUCCUCCUCGUGCUAUCCACCGCCUCCGCCACGCACUCGCCGGAGAGCGCCACCGCCUCCGCCUCCGCCCGCGCCCACCACCACCACCACCGCUCGCCGUUCGGCACGGCCACCGCCCACUUCCACCCCGUCCCUAGCGCCGCGCCCUCCAUGCACCAAAACCACCUCCACGCCGACACCCAGUCCCUGCUCGCCACCGGCGACGUCGACCCCGUCCUCGCCGACGCGCAGGCCACGGACGCGGCGGAGGCCCGUCCCACUCCGCUCGUGCCGCCCCAGGCCGAAGCGGCAUCACCGCCUCCCACGCUCGUCCUCCCGGUGCCGGAUCUCGCGGAGGCGACGCCGACGACGCCCGCUGCAGCGACGACAACGACGACCAGCACGCUUCUCCCGCUCCCUGCCACGGUGGCGACGACCACGAGCCCGCCUCCGCCUCCCGCCGUGUCCGACGCCGAGCAGGGGCUGCAGCAGCUCUCCAGGGUGCUCACCUCGCUGGGGUACAACGAGAUGGCGUCGGAGGCGCCGCUCCUCGCCCACGCGCCGCCGCUCGCGAGGUGGCCCGGGGCCAUCACCGUCUUCGCGGCCCCCGACGCCUUCCUCCAGGCCGCCUGCCCCAUGUGCUCGCGCCGCCACCUCCUCGAGCAGCACAUCGCCAUGGGCUACUACCCCUACUCCGAGCUCGCCGCCGCAGCCACCAUGAAGAUCCCCUCCGCCUCCGUCGGCUUCUGCAUCAAGGUCGCCACCGAGCGGGGCCCCUUCGGCAUCCACUACGCCAGGAUCUACGCCGACGGCGUCGAGGUGUCCCACCCAGAGCUCUACAACGACGGCCGCUACGUCGUCCACGGCCUCCACGGCUUCCUGCGCCCGCUCACGCACUCCUGCUUCGACGGCCCGCACCACCAUCACCUCACCGGCCGCUCCGCCGCAGCCUCCGCGGCCACCGCUGCCUCCGUGGUGCGCAUCAUGAUCCGCGACGCCAUGGCGCGACUCCGCGACGGGGGCUACGGCUUCAUGGCGCUGGCCAUGCGCGUCAAGUUCGCCGAGCUCGAGAAGUUCGCCAACCUGACGCUCUUCGCGCUCGACGACCCGGCCAUCUUCGUCGGCGGAGGCCACGACUACGUCUCGGCGGUGCGCUUCCACAUCGUCCCCAACCACCGCCUCACGCGCGCAGACCUCCACCGCCUCCGCCCCGGCACGGUCCUCCCCACUCUGGCCGGCGAGGGCCAGAGCCUCGUCGUCACCCACUACGCCACCGGCUCCGCCUCCUCCAACGACGACGUCCGCGUCAACUACAUACCCAUCAAGGAGCCCGACGUGGUGGUCAACUCGCGCAUCGCCGUCCACGGCGUCUACGUGCCGUUCCCCCGCCUCCACCUCGCCGACCUCGCCGUCGCGUCCGCCACCGACCAGACGAACGGCACCUGCGGCGUCGGGGGGCCCUUCGGCGACUGCGCCUCCUCAGCGAUCACCUCUCCCGGCGAGUGA
rnacentral:rRNA from 1 species